UUCCGUAGGGUGAACCUGCGGAGGGAUCAUUACCGAGUUUACAACUCCCAAACCCCUGUGAACAUACCACUUGUUGCCUCGGCGGAUCAGCCCGCUCCCGGUAAAACGGGACGGCCCGCCAGAGGACCCCUAAACUCUGUUUCUAUAUGUAACUUCUGAGUAAAACCAUAAAUAAAUCAAAACUUUCAACAACGGAUCUCUUGGUUCUGGCAUCGAUGAAGAACGCAGCAAAAUGCGAUAAGUAAUGUGAAUUGCAGAAUUCAGUGAAUCAUCGAAUCUUUGAACGCACAUUGCGCCCGCCAGUAUUCUGGCGGGCAUGCCUGUUCGAGCGUCAUUUCAACCCUCAAGCACAGCUUGGUGUUGGGACUCGCGUUAAUUCGCGUUCCUCAAAUUGAUUGGCGGUCACGUCGAGCUUCCAUAGCGUAGUAGUAAAACCCUCGUUACUGGUAAUCGUCGCGGCCACGCCGUUAAACCCCAACUUCUGAAUGUUGACCUCGGAUCAGGUAGGAAUACCCGCUGAACUUAAGCAUAUCAAUAAGCGGAGGAA
rnacentral:rRNA from 1 species